CCCAUUCCGCAAGGAAGUAAGAUCCCUGAAAGAUGAUCAGGUUGAUAGGUCUGAGGUGGAAGUGUGGCGACACAUGGAGCUGACAGAUACUAAUCGAUCGAGGACUUAACCAC
rnacentral:rRNA from 1 species